UCAGCAUCUGUCUGCUUGCCUGCAUUGUCU
rnacentral:piRNA from 1 species